UACGUAGGGGCCUAGCGUUGUCCGGAAUUAUUGGGCGUAAAGAGCUCGUAGGCGGUUUGUCGCGUCUGCUGUGAAAGUCCGAGGCUCAACCUCGGAUCUGCAGUGGGUACGGGCAGACUAGAGUGUGGUAGGGGAGACUGGAAUUCCUGGUGGUAGCGGUGGAAUGCGCAGAUAUCAGGAGGAACACCAAUGGCGAAGGCAGGUCUCUGGGCCACAACUGACGCUGAGGAGCGAAAGCAUGGGGGAGCGAACAGG
rnacentral:rRNA from 1 species